AGGCGGCGGGGCCGGUGCGGGCGCUGGAGCCGCCGCGGCGGCAGGAAGAUGGAUGCGCCGUGCUCAUGCCUCGCCGCUCGGCGUCUUUCCUUGGCGGCACGGGCUUCCAAAGCAGCUGAGUCAAGGACCUUAAGGAAUGUCACGCAGUAGUUGCUGACCUAACUGACACUGAAAGGAACAGAAGAAGAUGGCAAUCCAUAUUUGAAAUAAACGUGUGGACUCUCUGAUAAAAAACCAUGUCAAAAAAAGGACGGAGCAAGGGCGAAAAGCCUGAGGCACUGAUUGUUGCCCUACAGGCUGCCAAUGAGGACCUCAGGACCAAGCUAACAGACAUUCAAAUUGAGCUGCAUCAGGAGAAAUCUAAGGUUGCUAAGCUCGAAAGAGAAAAGACUCAAGAAACGAAGCGCAUCCGUGAAGUGGAGCAACGCAAGCAGACCGUGCAGAUCACAGAGCUAAAAGCCAAACUCCAUGAAGAGAAAAUGAAGGAGCUGCAGGCGGUGAGGGAGAACCUCAUCAAACAGCACGAGCAGGAGAUGACGAGAAUGGUGAAAGUCCGAGACAGUGAAAUCCAGCGCCUGAAGUCGGCGCUGUGCGCGCUGCGGGAUGGGAGCAGUGAUAAAGUACGGACUGCGCUGACCAUUGAGGCUCGUGAGGAGGCCAGGAAACAGUUUGACUCUGAGCGCCUUAAGCUUCUGCAGGAAAUUACUGAACUGAAGUCCGCCAAAAAGCAGGUGGAUGAGGCCCUUAACAAUAUGAUCCAGGCUGACAAGAUCAAGGCAGGCGAUCUUCGGAGUGAGCAUCAGUCCCACCAAGAGGCCAUUUCCAAGAUCAAAUGGGAGAGUGAAAGGGAUAUUCGACGCCUGAUGGAUGAGAUCAAGGCUAAAGACAGGAUCAUAUUUUCAUUGGAGAAAGAACUGGAGACACAGACAGGCUAUGUGCAGAAGCUGCAGCUGCAAAAGGAAGCUCUGGAUGAACAGCUCUUUUUGGUGAAGGAGGCAGAGUGUAACAUGAGCAGUCCCAAGAGAGAGAUCCCAGGAAGGGCUGGAGAUGGUUCGGAGCACUGCAGCAGCCCUGACUUGCGCAGAAACCAGAAGAGGAUAGCAGAGCUGAAUGCCACCAUACGGAAGCUGGAAGACCGGAACACGUUGCUUGUUGAUGAACGAAAUGAGCUGUUGAAGCGUGUCCGAGAAGCUGAGAAACAAUGUAAACCUCUUCUGGAAAAGAACAAGUGCCUCACGAAGAGAAAUGAUGAACUUAUGCAGUCUUUGCAGCGCAUGGAAGAUAAACUCAAAGCAGUCACUAAAGAAAAUAUAGAAAUGAGAGAAAAAAUAACAUCACAUCCUCCUCUAAAGAAAUUAAGAUCUCUCAAUGACCUGGAUCAGGCUAAUGAGGAACAAGAAACUGAAUUUUUAAAGCUUCAGGUCAUAGAACAGCAGAACAUAAUUGAUGAGUUAACAAGGGACAGGGAGAAACUCAUUCGUCGGAGAAAGCAUAAAAGGAGCUCAAAACCAAUCAAGAGACAUGUGGUGGAUACGGUUUUUGGGUAUGAUGAUGAUUCUAUGGACUCUGAAACAUCCUCUGUGGCCUCAUAUAGAACAGACAGGACACCAGCAACCCCAGAUGAUGAUCUGGAUGAGGGUUUAGCAGCAGAAGAGUCAGAGCUGCGGUUUCGACAGCUGACGAAGGAGUACCAGGCCCUGCAGAGAGCGUAUGCACUGCUGCAGGAACAGACAGGAGGGGUCAUAGAUGCUGAAAGAGAAGCCAGGGCUCAGGAGCAACUUCAAGCUGAAGUCCAGAGGUAUAAAGCCAAAAUAGAAGAUCUGGAGAAAACUUUGGCUCAGAAAGGGCAGGACUCACACUGGGUGGAAGACAAGCAGCUUUUUAUUAAGAGGAACCAAGAGCUUUUAGACAAGAUAGAGAAAACGGAAGCAGAAAACAACCGUCUGCAACAGGAGCUGCAGGAUGCGCGAGACCAGAACGAGCUGCUGGAGUUCCGCAACCUUGAGCUGGAGGAAAGAGAGAGACGGUCCCCACCAUUUAAUCUCCAGAUUCACCCAUUCUCAGAUGGUGUGAGUGCUCUACAGAUCUACUGCAUGAAGGAAGGGGUUAAGGAUGUCAGCAUCCCAGACCUUAUAAAGCAGUUAGACAUCCUAGGUGAUAAUGGGAAUUUAAGGAAUGAAGAACAAGUGGCCAUAAUUCAGGCGUCCACGGUAUUGUCCUUGGCAGAAAAGUGGAUCCAGCAGAUUGAGGGAGCUGAAGCUGCUCUGCAUCAGAAGAUGAUGGAACUGGAAAGUGAUAUGGAGCAAUUUUGCAAAAUAAAAGGUUAUUUGGAGGAAGAAUUAGACUACAGAAAGCAAGCUCUUGACCAAGCGUACAUGAGGAUCCAGGAGCUUGAAGCCACCUUGUACAAUGCUUUGCAGCAAGAAACAGUGAUAAAGUUUGGGGAACUACUCACUGAAAAACAGCAGGAAGAGCUGAGGACAGCGGUAGAAAAGCUAAGACGUCAGAUGCUGAGGAAGAGCAGAGAAUAUGAUUGCCAGAUUCUUCAGGAGAGGAUGGAGCUGCUCCAGCAGGCUCAUCAGAGGAUCCGAGAUUUAGAAGAUAAAACUGACAUCCAAAAGAGACAAAUUAAGGAUCUGGAGGAAAAGUUUCUAUUUCUGUUCUUGUUCUUCUCUCUUGCCUUUAUUCUUUGGCCUUGAUGUCAAUGUGCCUCUUGGAAAGGUAAGACUGUUUUAUUUAUUUCCUCAAAACUAGCACUUCUUGCACAGACCGGAGGAUCACAUCCUUGUGUGUUCUUGUGGAUGUUUGGAGUCAGCAAAUGCAGCAGGUUGUUGUCGAUUUGCAGUAGUUCACAGUAGGGGGUUGUUGUACUGCCAAGCUGCUGGUGAUAUUGUGCUAUUCAUAAUUGUAAAAAUAAAAGCUAACAAGGAAUUUCACAGUAUCAAAAAGCCAAGGGAAUUGCAGGGGAAAUUUAAUGUUGAUGUUUACAAAGGGAUGCAGAUGGAAAACAGUUAAAAUAACCUCAACCGUAAACACACUCUGAACUAGCACUGAGGAAGGAGAUCAGGAUUUUGAAACAAGUAGAGCAGCAGCUCUACUUUUUAAAACAAGUGUCCCGUAGCAGGAAAAACACAAAGAAAGACAAGGAAGAAUGAUCAACUGCUGAGAGACAGGAAGGGAGAGAUAGAGAAAUGGAAGGAUUUUUCUGGCUCAGGAAGUGACACUGCUAAUAGGAGGUAUUGGAGAGAUCUAAAAAAUUUGUCAUAGAAUGGAUGGACGGACGGACAGACAGCUUGCUAUUGUUCACCGUCUAAUAGAAUCAAUUACCAUGUAACAAGCUUAAAGAAACAAAAAUUAAUAGUUAAGGAUACAGGUGGUAAAGAAGUCUUUCACGGUAUGCUUAGCAGCUGAAAGUUCUGAAUUCAAAAGGUAAUGUGAAGAUGGGGAAAUAAAUCAGAGAACUAUAAUGGUCCCAUUUUUAUCUGUGCCUAGCCACUUCCAGAACAAGGAUGCUGGGCUAGGACAAUUUUUCUUUUGAUCCAGGAUAACAAAACUAGAACACAGCAUAGAAAACAUAAUGUUAAAGUCUCAAGAACAUGUAAUGACAGCAUAAUUUUCUGAUUUGAGGACAGACCCAUACCAUUAAAUUUCUCAGUCUCUCUUGGCUCUGGCUUCAGCUGUGUUAAUGAAUAAUUCCUCUGCUCUCCACCUGAUAAAAUGAGAUACGGUUGUGUGAAAUAUGUUCUGCCCUUCCACCAUUUGUACCAGCUCAUUUUUUGUUUCCAGAUACAAUUCAAGGUAUUGAUUAUAAUUAAGUGGCAUGGGUCAUGUUUGGUGGGUUUUCCUUUUCCCUUUAAGGAAAAGCCCCUACUUCGUGUUUUAUUUCAGCUAGAUCCAAGCUUUCAUUUGCAGUUUUGUGCUGAUGCAGAGACAACUCUCAGAAUUAGUCACUUCAACUGGAAUCCACUGUGUCCUUGUUUGGCCAGACCUCAAAAUGAAUGUUUCCAUGGGCUGAAGCAGUAAUAUACCUGGAGGUUGGCUUGAACGGGGAGCAACCCAUAGAGAGGAAUUAGGAGAAAUGCAGACAGAUCAGUGAUCACAGGUCUUGUGAACAAGAGUCAGUAUCAUUAUCAAGUUGCUGCAGUUUCAAACAUACUGCCUUGAUCCAGUGAUUAUGAAACACAAUAACUUAUGACUGCAUUAAUUGUGUUCCUACUGCAGGAUUUCUGAGAACCAUGGUACAGCAUAGUAUAGCUGUGAGAUGUUUUAGGUAUCUCUGACUGGUGGAAGUUUGACUUCACAGUUUCUUGCUUAUUCAUAAUGGAGAAAAAAAUUAGAAACUCUUCUGAAGUGACCAAAUUGUGGACAAAAUAAUUUUAAGAAGCCAAGAUUUUCACAGUACACAGUAGUAGCAAAUAACUUUCUAUGACUAUGUCUUUUGCUGUACCACAGAAUCAUGAGUCUAGAACAAGCAGUCAACCUAGAGGGAGAUUCCAAAUUUAAAAAAAAUAUUGGAUUUAAGGUGCACCUUGGAAAAUCACAGGAACUUGUAGUGACAUUUGUGAGAACCUGCCUGCAUGACUUUUUUCCAUUUGCCUGUACUGUUGUCCUUUUUUCGUUCCUGUCACAACUGAAAUAAUGUCCUUGUGCAGCAUAUGAGAAAAACUUGGGCAAUAAGAGGUUCAGAGUUUUCUAUAUAUACAGUUUGCAUCUACAUUUUCCACCAGUGUGGGUAUGGCAUUGGUUCUCUAAUGAGUAUUUGCCUCUUCUAGUACAGCUACAGAAUUAGUGAGCUUUUACGUCCUAGUAUUACCAAUACCAAUCUGCUAAUACCAUUUGCUAAUAACACUUAGGUCCUUUUGGCCUAAUUUUUGAGGGCAGGUAUUGGCUGGUUAGAAAAGCUAAUGAGAUGCUUGAGGUCAGAACUCCAUAUUUUUCCUAAGUUCUAGGAGGUUUGCUAUUUUUCACUUGGAGUCAUCCUGCCUCCAUGGGCUGCUGGGUCCUGUUCAGCUCUUGCUCUUCACGGAGCUGAUGCACAUCUUGCUGUAAUGUUCAUUGAACAGGACUAAAAAUCAAAACAAUAUAAACAUUUUUUGUGCUGUCCUUAAGGCAUACACGACUGUCCCAGCUGCACAAUUGACCGAUGUCAUUGCAGGGGAACUUACAUGGAUCCAUUAGGGAUUGUGUCAAGAAUUCACUUCCCUCCUCACACCCUUUCUCUCUCCACCCUCCACCCCCCAUUCUGGCCCAAUCUCCUUCAAUGGGUUUUCCUCUUGUUUUACAUAACAUCUAAGGUUUAGCAGGUGUAAAUCCCUUCGAGAUCACUUUGUUGAGCCCAGGAAUGCUGCUCUGACUACAAUGCCAAGAUGAGUUUCACUCAUUGAAGUCACUGUUGCUCCAUAAUGGCUGGUCCCUGGAGCACACAGGGGUCCAGUUCCCCAUAGAGAAGAUGAGAAGCAUCAGCAGGAGCUGAAAUGUGGGUUACAGCCCCAUAAAGCCUGCUAGGCAGUUGUGGCACUCCUAGGACCACUCAGGAGGUGAAGGGUUCUUUUUCCUUUCCCAUCCUUCUUUUACAUAUUUGGCUUGAUGAACAUCAGGUGGGGAUCAACAAGACAGAUUACGGUGAGCUGAGUGACAGAGGAAAAGAGCCUUGACAGUAGUGGAGAUACAGUGACUUAGAGAAUCGACAUUGACUGUGAAGGUGGAAAAGUCUUACGGGAGAGGUGUGUGUGGGGGAUAUAUAAACUCAAUGCUUUUCCAGAGGAUCUGCACUGCUGUGAACUCCCUUGAACUGUAAAGACAGCUGCAGCAGGCCCAGCAUCACAGCACGCAUGAUACCUGUAGAGUGUUUUACCAAGGCCAGUCACUCCACAGGUGCAAAGCAUCAAGUCUUGUAGCAGUUCCUCAAAAACAAGAGUGCCCGAACCACACAGAUAAGUCCUUAUAAAGGCAAAUGCUUCCACCCCUCGAUGAAGAGAAUAUUGUUUACACCUAUUUUCAAAUGUAUAAAAAUGAACAACCUGUAGCCAAGACUGCAACCACCUUGUAUUUUAAAGCCAUCACUCAAAAUUUGGUACCUGACAAUUCCUGUCUAAAGCUAUGAUAUAUGCUGCAUCUAAUGAAAUCCUGUAUGUUGAAAUUACAAAAGGGGAAGAAAAAUAAACUGAUAACCUACAUCACCUAGGAAGAACUUAAAGGGAAGGGACCACUUUCAGCUGAUCAAGUCAGUGUGUCUUGGGCAUGGAACCAAAGUUACAAUUGAAAAAUCUAUUCCUGCUGUGCAGGGCAAUCAUUUAAAUGUUUCCCUGUCAUCUGACAAAUGGAUCAAAAAUGAACAGAUGAGAGUAGGAGAAACUCAAGAGAUGCUGACAACAAAGUGUUCAAUUUGAAGUAUGUGGCUUUCUCGCUGCAGGGACUCCUGCUCUCCCUCUUUGGUUUUAACCUCAGGAACAAAUGACAGCUGCAAUGUGGAAGGAAGAAAGGAAAAAAGCCCAGUCUGUGUUACUGCAGGGUGGGCAGGACAGAGUACCAUGUUUUGUGCUUGAGAUUGUUACACAGCGCCACCUGCCUUGGCCAAGGCAUGGGAGAAGAGGGUGGAUGGCAUGAGGAGGGUUUCCAGUGGAGCUGAAGCCUUAUCUCUCUUCACCAUCCCUCCAUGAAGAACAGCCUGUCUAUUAUCAGAUACUUUUCAUACUCUUUAAAGACUGCCAUUGAGAUAAUAAAACCAAGACUAUACUUGGUUUCACUAUAGAGUAACCACUGAAUUGGACCUACAGAAUAGUUUCUGAGAAAGAAAAGAGAUGUUGGAGGACAGGGCAGGGAGGAAAGCUAAUCCCCUUAUCCAUGUGACAUGAUUCACAAAGCAUCAGCUUCCAACUGUUUUGUCCCAGCUUGGAAAAAAUGUUUUGGUUCAGCUUGUCAACUGACUUUGUUGGAUUCCUGAUCAAUGAUAGAUAGACCAAAAAUGGGGAAAAACAUUGUGAACACAACCUUAUUACAGAUAAGAAAUAUUGCUAGUCUGUUUAGAUUUUUCCACAGUUAAGAGUAACUAAAAGUAGUUUUCAUUUGAAAGCAUUACUUACCUCUGUAAUCAUGAAGCCUGGAACCCAGCCGUGGUGCCUCCCUGAGGUCAUAGGUCCAUGCACCCAUCACUUUGUCAGAAAUGUAGGUCCAUGCACCCCUGCAGUCUUUCAGAAGAGCAGUCCCUGGGGAGCACAAUGCCUGCAGCAAUCACUGUGGGUCCUGUGCUGAGGGAAGGAGUGCAGCCAGCUGCACCCACCCUCCCUUCUCACUGGCGGGCUGACAGUACACUUCUCAUGCCUCUGGUUUCAUCUUCUGCGGAACAGAGUCCUGCCUGUUCAGACUUUGGAUUCCUGUGGCCAGGCUCUAUCUGCAAUGGAGCCUUAAUUUUAACUGGAAGAAAUGGAUUUCUGUACUAAAAACUAGCAAAUUAAGGGCCAAAAUACAGCUUGUGCAUUACUUACACCUUCAAAGCAGGGAUCACAUGUACCAACAUCUUACGCACAUCAGAAGCUUUUAAAGAGCUUUCGAAGAGUUUUUCAAAGAUCUUCUCCUUUGCUUGCCUGUUUACUUUUACAGACAAAGCAGAUGAGGCACAAAGCAGUGAGGUUACUUGCCGGAGCAACUCAGCACAUCAAAAGCAGUUCCUUAGCCAUAGGAGGGAGGGAGUUUCUCUGGUGUCAAUGAUGCCUGCCCCUCACAGAUACCUUUUUUUUUUUUUUUGGCUAGAAUAGCUUUUAAUCAGUAAUGUCCAUUUGACUAACUGCAUUGCAGUUUCUCCACAAAGACUGCUAACAUUCUUAUUCCUUGAGUGCCAGGAGAUAGUGUUAAACCUUCCAUGGAAGAUUAGAAGUUAUUAGCAAGUGAUUUUUUUCCUGCUCCUUAAAGUUAAUUUAAAUUAUAGAAUGACCACAUCUUCUUGAAACACUGGCUCAGCCAAGGGGUUUACUGAGUUCUGGCACCAAGCUGUAUGUUUGCUGGCUCAUUUUUAAAGAAAUAUGCUUGUAGGUAGAUACGUUACAUGACUGCAGGCAUAUUGCGUGUUUUUUUUUUCAAAUUCCUUUCCCUAGCAGAAGACUCUGUGAAUAAGGUUGUGCUUUCCAUGAGCUAGCAGUUCAGUCCUGAAGCUCUGGAGUUGGGCCCUGAAGAGUGGUCCCACUCCUGUGACAGCUGGAGAUUACUGAGCAGCGUAACAGCAGCUUGUUAGCUAGAGGGAGCUUUCUCUCUGGUUGUUCCUUCCCACCUCACUCUUUUCUCCUCUGUUGCAGCAUCAGGUAAUUUGCCACCUUCAGGUGGCUUUCCUCAGUGUUAGGGCUGGCAGUUAAAGCACGGAGUUCUUGCAGAAGAAUUAGCAGCUCUUGGUUUCAGUGAUGGUGCAAUAACUUCCACCGCUGGUUUGGUUUAAAAAAAAAACCCUAGAAACAUUUAUUUUAGGCAAUCAUACAGAAGGUUUAUGGCACAGUUAGAAAUUUACACUUUUACAACAUACCUAACUGGUCUUGUGGCAGGCUUCAUUAUUUAGACUCCCUAAGUCAUGUUAUCUUGUUUAAUUUCUCUUUUUUGUCUUAUUUGCCCUCCCUUACUCCUGUGUGUAUACAUAUGCAUGCAGGUAUUGCAUUGCCAAGGGUUCAGGGUGGGAUGGGUGCUGGUAGUCUGACUGCAGCAGACCUGGAUCUGCAGACUUUUCAAAGAUUGUUCUUCCCUCCAGGGAGCUGAACCACUGCUGCUUUACUCUCCUUGCAGCAUAACACAUGCCAUGCCUAAAACACACAUGCUGAUGUGAGUUAAUGGAACUUUCUGCUAUCAGCUAGAUAAAAUGAGUUUCAUGUCUGUGUGUAUAUAUAUAUACACAUGUAUCUAUAUGUAUAUGUACAUAUAUAUACAUAUAUAUGCAUAUACUUACCGAUUCCUGAUUGUAUAUAGAAAUAUUGCUGUAGCUUACAAAAGUAUACUUUAAUCUAGGCAUGGGGAACUGAAUCCAGAUUAUUUCUCCAGGUUUAGUUUCACAUCUCAUGGGCAGCUAAUUUUUUUAUUCUUUUUUUUGAUUCUUCACUCUCCUUUGACUGUUAAUCCUGGGCUUUCUGCUGUUCCUGAUGUUCAUUGAAGCAAAGGAUUGAGAAUCCUCCCUCAGAUUAGUCACUGUAGCCAACCUCCCCUCCCCAAAGCCAACAACAAAAAUAAAAUCAAUGUACUGCAGCCUUUGAGGACAGCGAAUACAGCCCUGGAUCCCUCCCGUGCAUCCCUUCGAGGCUCUUCAGGAGUGGCAGCACUCCAGGCUAUCCAUCCUGCCAAAGCAGAAGGUGAGCCACAGAAGGUAGUACAAAUCAGCUUGACCACAACUUGACUUGCUUUUUUUUUCCCCCCAGUGACCAAGUUAUGAGACUUUGAAGACUAUUGUUUGAAUUUAAACACUUCAGAUGAGGGCCUGGUUACGUGAGACGAGUUUAGGCAAUUGGGGUUGCAGUAAGGAAAUGGUUCUUGCAGUGUUACCAGCAUGGCUCACAGGUCCAUCCUUUCUUACUGAUGUGCCUGGAGGACAAUGGAGAAUUUUUUUUAAGGUGUUGUUAAUCGUCCAACCAGCUACCAUUAUGUCAGUGGGAAACAUCCGCUGAAACCCGAAGCUUUCAGUUCUAUGGCAUCCCAUGAGGACUGUCCAGGCCAGGCUCUCCUGACAUGAGCAGGGCUCAGAGAACACUCAGCUGCUGGUGAUCCAAAGGGUUUUUUCUUCCCCUGCCCUCUCUCACAUCAGCACCUCUGUGGUUUUAUAUAUACUUUUUGUUCCAGAUUUUUUUGGUGUCUAUUCCAGAACAAAAUUGUAAAUUACUUGCAGAAUGACCCUUUGAUAAACAUUGGACAUGUACCUGUACUAUAUGUAUUAACGUGUAGGAGAGAAUCCUUAUUGUAUGUAAAGUUUUAUGGAUGGUUAUUUUUUAAUUUAUGUAUUUAAUAUAGGAUUCAAUGACCUCUGGUGUUUUAGUUUGUAUAAAAAAUAAAACAGCAGCAUUUUUAAAAAAAAAAAGCAACCAACA